UUUAACUGGAAUAUCCAACUGUCACACCUUCCCCAACCGAUGUACAAAAGUUCCCGAAUUCCUUGGUGAAGGUGGAACCUGGAAUACACAGACAUGAAUUUCCAGAUUCCAAUGUCUUAGAAGAGAACCAUCAACAGCACAUGGUUGCUCCUGAGAAUGCUGAAAUACUGCAAGUCCAGGCAGACACAUCUGUAGAUGUAUCAGAAAGCGAAGCAGAAGUGUACCCUGAAACUUCUACCAGUGCCAAUUCACCACACAGCAAACAAAAACUACCAACGAGGACGGUAAAGGU